rnacentral:tRNA from 4 species
GGACGAUUAACUCAGUCGGUAGAGUGGCAGCCUGUUAAGUUGUUUGUCGCUAGUUCAAGUCUAGCAUCGUCCGCCA